CAGUCGCCGCGGUAAUGCGAAGGGUGCAAGCGUUAAUCGGAAUUACUGGGCGUAAAGCGUGCGUAGGUGGUGGUUUAAGUCCGUUGUGAAAGCCCUGGGCUCAACCUGGGAAUUGCAGUGGAUACUGGGUCACUAGAGUGUGGUAGAGGAUAGUGGAAUUUCCGGUGUAGCAGUGAAAUGCGUAGAGAUCGGGAGGAACAUCAGUGGCGAAGGCGGCCAUCUGGGACAACACUGACGCUCAUGCACGAAAGCGUGGGGAGCAAACAGGAUUAGAUACCCCAGUAGUCCCUGUCUCUUAUAC
rnacentral:rRNA from 1 species